GUGAGGUUUUACUCCAAGAACCAAAUCAGGUCUAGAGCAACGCGGGUAGAAGUUUAUCCUUGCUUGCAGUAAACAUUGCUUCCCAAACAGAUUCAUUCACAACUGGGGCAUACUUCUGCUUUUCCUCCACUGAAAGUGCAAAAAAAUGUUUUGCAACUUCACGUACCUUGUCAAGAUAUGAAUUUGACAUGCCAUGACCAAUUGCCUGUUGUAGAAGAAAAUCACAGUGAACGACAACACUUUUGGAAAUGCUACACUUUCUAGCUUCAACAAACAUAUACUUAUGCGAGUAAGGGACGAAUAUGUAAUGUUCUGAGAUGAUGUGGAGGUAGCUGUUUGUCCCUCAAGUUUACAAGUGCAUCACAAAAUUUGCAGUUUAAUAACUCCCAAUGAACACUCUAGUAAAUUCAUCUAAGCAGUAAUGUAAUCUUAUUCUAAAUAAGCUAUGGUUCUUAUACACUUACGAAAUUGUUGUAAAUUAUUGUAAAUUCAUACCUGGAAGCAUCCAGCUGAACUUAGAGCAGAUCUUAGCUUCUCAAGCUCACUUUCUGAUGGAAGGAGACUUACAUCAAUGAUAGGAAUUGGAAUCAGUGUUGAAGAA